rnacentral:lncRNA from 1 species
CAAGUACCCCCUGCCUUGAGUAUUCAGUCUCCUGUGUCUGCAUUGGAAAAGGUAGAAACACAGAGCCCUAGGGAUGUUUCGUCUCUUGCCAUGUCAGAAUAUAAAGAUAGCACGUGCCUUUCUGCCUCUUCAGUAAACGAGGAAACACCUCCUGAAAGCCUGUGUCUAUUACAGAAAGAGAUUCCUCUGACAUCACCAGCUGAUAAAGGAUUGAUAAUGGAGGCACUCUCACUAGUUAAGAGUUCUAGUUAUUCAUUAGCCAGUGAUAAAACAAAGUGCCCACAAGAUGUGUCUCUACAGACUCAGAAUGGCCUGAGCAUGUCUUCAGGUGAGGUUCUAGAACCAUCGCAAGUUAAAGUAGUUUCAUCAACCUCUGUUACCUUGAGGGCACAGCAGUCGCCUAACUGUAUUUCAGUGACGAGUGAUGUAGCAGGUGGCUCUUCAGAAAUAAUGAACAGUGACAACAGUAGUCUAAACCAAAAAAAGGUUUUACAAAUAUUUAAUUCAGUAUUUCCCAAAGAAACUGAUCUGUCACUGAAUAGGGAAGAGGUUAGCAUGGAGUUGUCAGGGGAAGAUGCUGAUAUUGAUCUAACUCUAACAAUAUCACCGCCUACAAGCCCCAGUGAGGAAAUAGCAGCUGGUGAAAUCGAACAGUUGCAGAGGGCCACAGGAUCAAAUGUAGGACAACAGAGUAGACCUGAAGAAAUGGUUGAACCAGAACAACAGGGGAGCCACAUAAAAAACAGAGAAAUAAGUUCAGCUGGCUGCAUCUCAGUGUAUCCUGUGGAAUCCAAAGAAAUGUCAAAAAAUUACACCCCAGAGGUUGCAGAGAAAGUUAAUGUCACCUCGGACUUUCCUUUUGGCCCUCUAAUAGAAGUGUCACCAGCCUCAAGUCCUGACCCCAUAGUACAAACUGGAGACAGACAGUCAUCUCCAUGUUGUUUAAAACUGCAAGACUCACAGUCUGAGAAAACUAACACAUUUUCCCAGAUUAAGUCAGGAGAUUUAACUAUACCAGAAAAAGAAAGUAGUCUUGUUGGUCCUAAGAGUCCAAAGGAACAAGAUAAGUUAGCUCAAACACAAGUGCAGCUCUCAGCUGAAAUGCCACAGAUACUAACUAAUGCAGAAAUAGAGGGCAGAGAUGCUGUGCCUGGGAAGGUAACCGAGGUCACGGUCCCCAGUGAGCAUGAGAAUUUAUCUUUCUCA